rnacentral:lncRNA from 1 species
GUAGCUUGUCUUCAUGAAGCUUGAGUGCCUAGUGCCCCAAGUGUGACAUCUCAAAUGGUUCACACAACAUCAUAAGCUUUUGGAAUAACCUUGAGAGAAAUGUAGAACACUUGAAAUCAGCUAGCCCUUCUCUAUUGUACAUAGUGGCCGAUUUUUCCUAACAAUAUGAUCUUUAUAUAGUGCCACACUUAGGGUAAACCCUAAUUGUCAUGGCUUUCCAUUUCCUUGGAUCCAUGGGUUCAAAUACACCAUGGAGCAUCCUAUGGGUUUUAGCCCAACUUGAUAAUCCAUGGAGCAUUAGCCAACUAUACAAGUAUGGAUGAUUUACACAAUCAACCCACAUAUUUAAUUAGUUUUCCAUUGAUCACUUAAUUAAUUCUUGAUCAAUACUAAUUAAAUAAUCCUAUUAAUAUAUUAGAACAUAUAAUAUAUUAAUAAUCCUUAAGUGUUAUAUCUCUCAUUAUAGUCUAUCCAAAUGCAUGAUGCCAUGCAACCCAAAUGGACCAUGCCGGGUCGGGUCAAGUCUUACCAAUUAUAGUUAUGGACUUAGACAUUAAUCCAACAGUCUCCCACUUGGAUAAGUCUAAAACUAUUAUUGCGUAUGACUUCAGGAACCAACUGGCAAUCGUAGCUCUCAAAAGCUUCUGUCGAACUCUGACCUUGUAGAUGAACUCUGACCUUUGUCAAUGACUUGUCCAUUAGAUAAGGGAUCAUAUAUUCCUCCAUUCUAGAUAUCAUAUGGACUGAGACAUGGAUUAUAAUCAUUCUCUCUGUCCAUUUGUUGUUUCCCGAUUUCCGAUUUAUGACGACUGACUAAUUGAACAAAUCAAAUCAGUUCUGGGCCGGCGGAGCACUUCCAUUUUUCAUCAUCAAAUCAUCGAGGGGCCCACAGAUAUCGCUUUUAUCCCGAAGGUAAAAGGAUGGAUAAACUUUGACUCAUAUGGCUUGUUCUACUACUUGUUAAAUCAUACAGAAAGGUACGUUUUAUAACACCGAGUUAUUGUAUGUGUCUUCGUGCAAUCAAUGUACAACCAACUCAUAGUAACAACUCAUAUAUCUAGGUUUGAAGAAUAUAAGAUAUUAUCAUCUCAUGAUCACUCGUGAUAAAAUCCAUGAAGUGAUUCCAAUGAGCGCGGGUUGAAUCCAAUACUCAGAACUUAUGAGCACUCAUGAGUGUUGUAGCCCAUUGUCCAACAUCAUAGACCUCUACAAGCCAACCCAUGGCAGUCUUAAUUCAUAUUUACUUCCAACAUAUAACCGACAGUGGAUGGUUUGAAUAACUUAGUCAUCUAUAACAAUGACCUAGUUAUUCUAGAAGUUAAAACAUGCAAAAUGAAUCAUAAUAAUAAUUGAAUCCAAUAUGGUAUCAAAACCUAUGAACAUAAAUAAAACACCUUUUAUUUAUCACCAUAUGAUUACACAUUAUUCAUUGUAUACUGUUUCAGCUAUCUACUUUAUUCUUGAAUUUAAAACAAUUGUUGUCCGAUGCUCCAAGCAUGUACACUAUGUUUUCUAAACACUAGUCAUGCCAUACACCAAGUAUGCAUACUAUGUUUGUCUAUGAACUUUACUUUGUGAAUUAGAUCAAUUGAACAUAACCCCAAUGAUCCUCUUUUCACAGUCCCAAAUCCUUACUGCAAAUGCAAGAAUUCCAAAUUCAUGCCAUUCACUGAAAUCGGUUAGAUUCUAAACUUAUAUGCAAUGAUCCUGUUGUAAUGAUUAUGCACAAAGUCAUAAGGACUUGACAAUAAACAUUACAGAGCAUUCCAAAUGAGAUUAACUCCUUGGAAACAUCCUUCUUGCAUUAAGUUUCCUAAUCUUACGCAUAUUGAAUAAUUUCUAACUUUGAAACAGUUCCAUAUUCCAUUUUGAUUAUCACUUCUGAACAAGAGUUGCCUCCUUACAGAUUAUGUCAAUAUGGUCCUUCCAGAAUUAUCACUAUACUUCCAACUNNNNNNNNNNNNNNNNNNNNNNNNNNNNNNNNNNNNNNNNNNNNNNNNNNNNNNNNNNNNNNNNNNNNNNNNNNNNNNNNNNNNNNNNNNNNNNNNNNNNNNNNNNNNNNNNNNNNNNNNNNNNNNNNNNNNNNNNNNNNNNNNNNNNNNNNNNAAAGACUUGGCAACAAUCAUUACAGAGUAUUCCAAAGGAGAUCAACUCCUUGGAAAUAUCCUUCUUGCAUUAAGUUUCCUUAAUCUUACACAGAUUGAAAAUUCUAACUUUGAAACAUUUCCAGAUUCCAUUUUGACUAUCACUUCUGAACAAGAGUUGCCUCCUUACAGAUUAUGUCAAUAUGGUCCUUCCAGAAUUAUCACUAUACUUCCAAUUGUCCUUGAGCAACCAAUCUUUGGUAAACCUUAGAUUGUCCUCGACAAUUGUUUAAUCCUUUUAGUCAUAUCCAGUUCUAAACCUUUUCCCUUCUUAAUGCCCCAGGCAUUUGGAAAAUUUUAGAACGGAUGAAUAUAGCACAUGUAAUCGAUCCUAUAUCCGAAGCAUAUGGGACACGAUUCAUGAUGUCUUACAUAAAGACUAAACCAGUCUUUUGCUAUAAUAUUUCCAUUUCAAUUUGCCAAGUUCUCAUAAUUCAGAUUAUGAAAAGGGAUGCCGUAAUCAUAAUCGAAUUUUAGAACGCAAAUAAUGGACCCAUAUACAGAAUUUCCUUAUGUUGAGCCAUUCCAACAUGAAAUUCAUAUAUAUCCUUGACUAAAUGAUUAAAACCUCACGAUCUAAGCUUAUAGAUUUGAGAUGAAGCAUAAUUUCCUCUCCCUUAAUUAUAGCAAAACAACUUUUUCCCAAUUGAAACUUUUGUUUUCUAUAAUUAACAUUGCUAACUUGCAAUACUUAUCAUAAUUAUCAUGCUCCCACUAACAUGAUGAUAAUUAACAUAACACUUAUGCUCCCACUAGCUUUGACAUGUGCUCAUAAAUUAGUUGGACUUCUAGAAAUCAAUACUUUAUUGACUUUCUUACCAAAGUUCAGAUUUAUGAUACUAGAUUGCUUUGAUAACACUUUAUCAGNAGAAGUCAAUACUUUACUGACUUUCUUACCAAAGUUCAGAUUUAUGAGACGAGAUUGCCUUGAUAACACUUUAUCAAAAUCAUACACCUUAUCUUAGAUAGCUCACAUGUGUCUAGACAAUUUUAGAACUAUGAAAAGGGAUGUCGUAAUCAUAGUCUCAAUUGUUUAGAUCUUUGCUAUUUGCUUCAAAAUCUACUUGGUGGAAGUGUUUCCUCACAAUUAUUUUCAUGAAUCGGAGAGAAACCUUAUGACCCUUAGAUUUUAUGGUGUAUGUGUUCUUAUCCAUGUGGAUUUGUCAAAACCAUCCUCACAAGAGAAGGAUAAUGACAAAUCCAAACUCAUAUGGACUGAACUCAAUCUAAAUUUCUUGCCACCUGGCGGCACAAGGGCCUGCCAUUGCUUCCAAGUUGUUGUGCAACCAAUUGAGAACUCUAAGAACUCAUAUGCAAAGCCAACAUUAAUUUGAAUGGGCACAGAAUAUGUCAACAUCAUAGGUUAUGAACCUCAAGUUGUGUGCUAGUGAAGAACUUCAGGUUUUAUUCUUGAUUAGUUCUUGAGACUUUCAAGACCUUUAAGACUCCCACUGUCCUCUUGACAUAUAAGACUCCUUUGUUAAAUAUUCAAGAGAUAGCGUGGAUUCUUUAUCAAGACUAACACUUUACACAAUUGGCCUAAGUUGGUCUCUGUUUUAUCCAAACCAUCACAUCUUACCAAUUUCAAAUGUACAAGAGUAGAUAAUCUUUUACUCUUACAUUUGACUAGUGUUAACAAACCCACUUCAAGAUAUGUCACUCAAGUUACAAUCUUGGAGUAUGACUCUAAGAAUUGUUUUGGAACGAACUAUGACUCAUCUUUUUGAUUUAACCAUUUCAACAAUUCAUGACUCCUCUUCUUAGUCAUAAGAAUGCACUAAGAUGACUUUAGAGGACCAAUUGUGAUAUGGUAUCUUAAUCAUUAAGAUGAUCAUAAACAUGAUACUAAAGUACUCUCCCAUCUUUUCAGAUUUGAGAAACUUUUAUCUUUCUGCCAUACUUUGGUUCUUCUUAUUCGUUCUGUCUCACAUUGAAACUUCUCCAAUGCUACAGACUUAUAGUUAAACUUAUAAGUAUAACCAUAUUUACAGAACUUAAGUAAAUCAUGACGAAUAGUCUUCUUUUUCUUUUGUGGUGGACUUUACCAGUGCACAACAAUGUGUACUCGAUCCCUUAGUCCUUUCCUUAUUCACAUAUGGGAAUUAGUCUUAAUUUUCCAAGCUGAAAGUUCUCAUUCAUCAUACUAUACAACUUGCAUGAUUCCAAGUUUCGAUCCACUUGAAACUUGAGUGAUGACAAUCUUUCCUUAUUUGAUAAAUUUAGACACUACCAUAAAUGAAAGAAUCAAAUUCACUUUCCAAUAUUGCUAUCAGUGGAAUAUUAUAAGCAACAACUUUUCACAAAUGCCAUUGUAAGGAUACUUAAAAUAAAUAAAAUCAAAACCUUUUUCUUUUAUUUUAAAACUUUGCGGAAAAACUUAUCCUUACAAUCCAUAUGAAAACCUUGUUGUUAUCUAUUCCUAAGAAAUAUAAAUAUCAUAACUGUUAAGUAAUAGCCCAAAAUUCUGAUCAUCGGACCAUGCGAUUGAAAUCCAUCUUCGCAAUCAGAAUCAGCAUGUACUUAAAAGAGUUAGACAAUGGACUUUACCUGAAAUAGAGCCAAACUUCUUGACUUUAACAUCCUUAGGUAAAUUUGGUAGCUUCGCAACCAAUUCCCCUUCCUUUGUGAAUAGUUAACUAUGGACCCUUGAUAAUGGGACUAUCUCAGACUUAGCCUCUCUCUUUACCAUUUGGUCAACCGAGUUAACGAUGGCCGAUCCCUUUCCAUUGGGAAGACAAAGCUUUAUUGGAUAUCUAAUGCAUCAUUCUCAAUGUCCACAACAUUUUAGGAAGUUGAUCUUAGCAAAUAGUUAAGAUCAUUAAGGGUCUUGUCUUAGUCUGUUUCAUAGGAUUCCCAAAAGAUCUCACUAUAUGACUUAGAAAGUAGUUGAGCGACCAACUUUCUCAAGACUUUGACACCAACUCUCCCAGCUUGUCAAUAUGUGACUACAUCUCCAAGAUGUGAUCACACCUUGACCUUGCCUUGCUAAUAGGGCUUGAGUGACCUUAAACUUUUUAGGAACUUGUGGGUUAGGGAGAAUAAUUGGAGGAGGUGACAAAAGUAUGAGUUCCAUGGGACAUCAUCUUCAUUUAGGAAAGCUUGUUUCAAGAGAUUUGGGAAGAUCAUAAAUGCCUAAACCAGACAUCUUUUGGGAGAUAUUCAAUAUAGUUGAUUUAAAGUCCUUAGUAUGACACCCAAUACGAAAUAUUAAGGCUAGGAUCCAACAAACUAUUUUAUAACUUAGAAGAGGGAUGCCUUAAUCCAAGCUAUAAAAUAUUUGAAGGUAAGUGAAUGACGAUUCACCAAUUUCCAUCAAGAUAAACGCAAUGUAUUAUUAGGUUUUAAUUGGUUUUGAAACUCCUAGUUCUUUGAGAUUCAUUGAACUUUUCAAUGGCAUGUUUCAAUCUCGAGUGUGCCCUUCAGGUUUUGUGACUGGGAUGCCGAGGAUCACAAAACAAGGUGUGAAGUAACCAUGCAAAUAUCCUUGGUACCCUUAAUAUUUACCCCUUAAUCGAUGUGCCGGUUAACCACACACGCUCCACCGAUACUAUGAUAAAUAUUAAGUUACCCUUUGCCUACCUUGUUAAGUCCAGGUUAGUGUGCCGGUUAACCACACACGCUCCACUAACGACUUAAACAAAGUGCAAAGUGUAAUUUCAUGGGUUAGCACCUUAUUCACAUUUUCCUAAGUAACUAAGAUUGGGUAUUAUUAAGAGUUUAGUUACUUAGUAUUUAUCAUUAAUACUUUUAAUGAAGGGAGAAUUAUAGUCCUGUCAAACCCGUUCGGCUAACGACCCUCCACCAGUCAAGCAAGCGGUGGGUGAGAGUGGACACCCAUUAAGUUGCCAUUUUAUAGGCAACAACCUUAUACCCACCUUAUAGACCGGCUUCGUGAAUGAGGCGUACUAGCGGUAAGACUGACUUUACUCUUAUACAUAUAUAUAUUAUUAACUUAUAAUAUUAUAAAGUAUAAGGGUUGAAUUUUAACUUUUAAAAUUCUAAGGGCUAACUUGGAAUUAAAGUAUUCAUAAGUGAAAACUUUACAAAUUCCAAAACUUGAGGGCAAGUUUUGAAACUAUUCAAAACUAAUUAAUUCCAUAACUUAUGUGUUUAAAGUAGUUUUAAUCCAAAAACUCUUCAAGUUCCAUAACUUGAGGACAAGUUAUGGAAGACUUUAAACUAAUUAAAACAAUGUAACUUUUCUUUAUUUUGUAACUUAUGGAAUUAAUUAAGGUUGCACUUUUAAUUACUUAAUGAAGUUACUCUUGAACCUCUAUAACUUUGAGGACAAGACUCUUCAUUUUUGUAACCAUUGCCAACUUUUAUGAGUUUUAUGAAACUUAAAUGUGACUCUUCAUAUAACUUGAGGACAAGUUACAAAAACACAUUUUAGAAUCAACUCUUAGAUUAAUUUGGAUUGAAAACAACUAUUUCACUCAACUUUUCUAUUAAUCUAAGCAACUCAUAAGAACAAGAUAAUUCAAAUCAAACUUUUUCAUGUAAUUAGUCUAAACCUUAAACUAAUACAAAACAUGAAUCUAUUGACAAUUAUCUUUGAAAUUGGAUUAGCAUGAACAUUACCACAUCAAAAACAAGUUUAUAAGUUCAAGAACAUCUUAGGGUAAUGUUCCUAGUCCAAUUCCAGCCAAAAAAUGUCGAAUUUUUUGCUGUCUAGGGGUCCAACUCGGCGAGUUGGAUCGUUUUGAUCACUUUUUAGGCAUGGAAUCGUCGAGUAUCUUGAUGGACUCGCCAAGUCUGAUGCCCAGAUAGCAACAACUUCGAUUUUUUAAGCAGUUUUGCAAGUAUAACAACAAAACAAGCCUAGGCUCUGAUAUCACUGUUGGGUUUUGAGCAUUCUAACACUCCUAAGCGUGCAUGCAACCCUAAAUACCUUGGAUCUAUGUUUUCUCUAUUAUACAUACAAAUAUGAAUAUCCAAGGUAUUACUCUAUCUAGCAUACAAUCAUUGAUACUUGGGUAAUCAAAUGGAUAGAAUACAUACCUUUGUUUGAAGUAGCUUAUCUUCAUGAAGCUUGAGUGCCUAGUGCCCCAAGUGUGACACCUCAAAUGGUUUACACAACAUCAUAUGCUUUUGGAACAACCUUGAGAGAAAUGUAGAACACUUGAAAUCGGCUAGCCAUUCUCUAUUAUACAUAGUGGCCGAUUUUUCCCAAAAAUAUGAUCUUUAUAUAGUGUCACACUUAGGGUAAACCCUAAUUGUCAUGGUUUUCCAUUUCCUUGGAUGCAUAGGUUCAAAUACACCAUGGAGCAUCCUAUGGGUUUUAGCCCAACUUGAUAAUCCAUGGAGCACUAGCCCACUCUACAAGUAUGGAUGAUUUACACAAUCAACCCAUAUAUUUAAUUAGUCUUCCUUUGAUCACCUAAUUAAUUCUAAAUUAAUUCUUGAUCAAUACUAAUUAAAUAAUCCUAUUAAUAUAUUAGAACUUAUAAUAUAUUAAUAAUCCUUAAGUGUUACUUCUGUCAUUAUAGUCUAUCCAAAUGCAUGAUGCCAUGCAACCCAAAUGGACCAUGCCGGGUCGGGUCAAGUCUUACCAAUUAUAGUUAUGGACUUAGACAUUAAUCCAACAGUCUCCCACUUGGAUAAGUCUAAAACUAUUAUUGCAAAUGACUUCAAGAACCAACCGGCAAUCGUAGCUCUCAAAAGCUUCUGUCGAACUCUGACCUUGUAGAUGAACUCUGACCUUUGUCAGUGACUUGUCCAUUAGAUAAGGGAUCAUAUAUUCCUCCAUUCUAGAUAUCAUAUGGACUGAGACAUGGAUUAUAAUCAUUCUCUCUGUCCAUUUGUUGUUUCCCGAUUUCCGAUUUAUGACGACUGACUAAUUGAACAAAUCAAAUCAGUCCUGGCCCGGCCGAGCAC